UACGUAUGGUGCAAGCGUUAUCCGGAUUUACUGGGUGUAAAGGGGGCGCAGGCGGCGCGUUAAGCCUGGUGUGAAAGCCCGCGGCCCAACCGCGGGACUGCAUUGGGAACUGGCGCGCUGGAGUGCCGGAGGGGUAGGCGGAAUUCCUAGUGUAGCGGUGAAAUGCGUAGAUAUUAGGAGGAACACCAGUGGCGAAGGCGGCCUACUGGACGGUGACUGACGCUGAGGCUCGAAGGCGUGGGGAGCAAACAGG
rnacentral:rRNA from 1 species